CACGUAGGAGGCGAGCGUUAUCCGGAUUUACUGGGCGUAAAGCGCGUGUAGGCGGUUUGGUAAGUUGGAUGUGAAAUCUCCUGGCUCAACUGGGAGAGGUCGUUCAAUACUGCCAGACUAGAGGACGGUAGAGGAAGGUAGAAUUCCCGGUGUAGUGGUGAAAUGCGUAGAUAUCGGGAGGAAUACCAGUGGCGAAGGCGGCCUUCUGGGCCGUUCCUGACGCUCAGACGCGAAAGCGUGGGUAGCGAACGGG
rnacentral:rRNA from 1 species